AAGCUGUGAUGAGAUUUGCGAUUUGUGGCAGAUUGGGUCCGCCACGCAUAGUCCGAUAUCAGGACGAAGUAUUCGCUUCUGAGCUU